CACAACUUGUGGACUUGUUUAGUGCUGCAGUGCAUUUUGUUGCUAGCGUUACUUUGCUACCUGCCAACUUUACGGGUGUUACUUUUUAAUUACCGUUUUAUAUUUGUUCCCUCGCGCGACUUUUUUAAUUCUCCUUUUUCCACACCGGAUGCUUUAUCUGGACAUGGUUCUACACGACCUUCACCAGCCGAAGCUAAGUAGUAACAUUAUGCCUUCUAAUUGCAGUCGCUGUACUCAUGAUACACAGGAGAAUGAUAGCCUUAUGAGGAGGAUAGCCGUGCUGCAAGCCCAGCUUCAGACGUACUCGUUAGGCAAGGGUAAUUUAAGUGUAGGAAAGGAUGAAACGGCGUCUGUGCCACAAAUACAGAUAGUAGUAUAAAUCCCCUCACACAGUCCCCGCAGCCGGACAAUUUUCUCAUGGCUUCUGGAAGGAAAUGCUGUAGGAAUGCUCAACCGGUGUCGCUCAUUCAGCCGACAGAAACUUUCAACCUGUUCUCCCCAUUAAGCAAUGAGUCGGAGUCAGAGGCCGAGCCUUCUCUGGUCUCUCCUCCACCCGUUACGGGGUCUGAGACGCCAAAGCCUCCCACCAUUAGCUCUGACAAAUUGAAAACCCUAGUCAUUGGCGACUUCAUUAGCCGCAGUAUUAGACUUAAAACGAAUCAUCCAGCGAUCAUACACUGUUUACCAGGGGGCAGGGCUACCCUGAAGAUGGUGCAGGCUAAAACUGGCGAGUAUAGAGAUAUUGUUAUCCACGUCGGCACCAACGAUGUUAGGAUGAAACAGUCAGAGGUCACCAAGCGCAACAUAGCCUCAGCGUGUAAAUCAGCUAGAAAAUGUGUCGGCAUCGAGUAAUUGUUUCUGGGGAGUGAUGAGCUCUACAGCAGAGUCUCACAACUUAAUCGCUGGUUGAAAACUGUUUUCUGUCCCUCCCAAAAGAUAGAAUUUGUAGAUAAUUGGCCCUCUUUUUAUGACUCACCCACAAACAGGACCUGGCCUGCUGAGGAGUGAUGGAUUCCAUCCUAGCUGGAGGGGUGCUCUCAUUUCUCUAUGAACAUAGACAGGGCUCUAACUCCUCUAGCUCCACAAUGAGAUAGGGUGCAGGCCAGGCAGCAGGCUGUUAGCCAGCCUGCCAGCUUAGUGGAGUCUGCCACUAGCACAGUCAGUGUAGUCAGCUCAGCUAUCCCCAUUGAGACGUGUCUGUGCCUCGAUCUAGGUUGGGCAAAAUUAAAGAUGGCUGUGUUCGCUUCAGCAAUCUCAAUGAAAUAAAGACCUCCUCCAUUCCUGUCAUUAUUGAAAGAGAUUGUGAAAUCUCACAUCUCAAAAUAGGGCUACUUAAUGUCAUUAACUAAUCACAAUCUUGAUUAUGAUUGACCCAACUGAAACAUGGCUUAAGCCUAAUAAAUUUACUUUGUUAAAUGAGGCCUCUCCGCCUUAUUACACUAGUGACCAUAUCCCUCGUGCAUCCCGCAAAGGCGGAGGUGUUGCAAACAUUUACGAUACAUAAUUUCAAUUUACAAUUAAAAACGACUGUGUUUUUGUCUUUUGAGCUUCUAGUCAUGAAAUCUAUGUAGUCUACUCAAUCACUUUUUAUAGCUACUAUUUACAGGCCUCCUGGGCCGUAUACAGCGUUCCUCACUGAGUUCCCUGAAUUCCUAUCGGACCUUGUAGUCAUGGCAGAUAAUAUUCACAUUUUUGGUGACUUUAAUAUUGUUAGGGUUGAACUGGCUAUUUGUAUGCAUAACCUUUAUAAUAUACUGGGGAAGCUAUGCUACAAUAUUAAGUAUAUGAACUGCGAGUAAAUCAACUGAAGACAAGAAGAACUACAACCGGCAACAGGAAGUGCGUCACGACGCUGGGAUCAGCCUACACGCCGACGACAGGAGGAGCAAGUUUAAACCACGCUCCUCCUCCCUCGGACAGGCCAGCAUUGAGCAGGAACUAUCUCUGUUAGAGUAUAAAAGAGAACAAUAGGAUGUGUCGCUCUCUUCUCUGUUUUGCCCUGCGAGGUAAAACAGCGAGACCGUAUAUAUACGAACCACACAUAUACCACACACGUGUUUGCAUUAAUUAAAGUACAGCUAAAUCAGAAGUUACUAUGUGAUGACUAUUUUGUUCUGUUACCAGAAAAGAACUGUCGCAACAUUAACAAUAUUCACAUGAAAAAGUCCACAGACCCACUCCAAAAGACUUUCGGAGCCAUCAUCGACUAAGUGGGUUUUGUCCAACAUGUCUCCAGACCUACUCGCUGCCACAGUCAUACUCUGGACCUAGUUCUGUCCCGUGGAAUAAAUAUUGUGGAUCAAAAUGUUUUUCCUCGUAAUCCUGGACUAUCGAACCACCAUUUUAUUACAUUUGCAGUCGCAAUGAAUAAUCUGCUCAGACCCCAACCAAGGAUCAUCAAAAGCUAUGCGUCAGAGUACAACAAUAGGUUAACCACCUGAGGAACUUAAUUUAACCUUGCAUAAUACUAUACAGUCACACUCCUAAAAACAAACAAAAUAUUGUCAUAAGAAACUCGCUCCCUGGUAUACAGAAAAUACCUGAGCCCUGGAGCAAGUUUCCAGAAAAUUGGAAUGGAAAUGGCGCUACACCAAACUGGAAGUCUUCCGAUUAGCUUGGAAAGACAGUACCGUGCAGUAUCGAAGAGCCCUCACUCCUGCUCGAUCAUCCUAUUUUUCCAACUUAAUUGAGGAGAAUAAGAACAAUCCUACAUUUAUUUUUGAUACUGUCGCAAAGCUAACUAAAAAGCAGCAUUCCCCAAGAGAGGAUGGCUUUCAUUUCAGCAGUGAUAAAUUCAUGAACUUCUUUGACGAAAAGAUAAUUAGAAAGCAAAUUACGGACUCCUCUUUAUUUCUCCAAAGCUCAGUUGUCCUGAGUCUGCACAAUACUGCCAGGACCUAGGAUCAAGGGAGACACUAAAGUUUUUUUUAAUACUAAAUCUCUUGACACAAUGAUGAAAAUAGUCAUGGCCUCUAAACCUUCAAGCUGCAUACUGGACCCUGUUCCAACUAAACUACUGAAAGAGCUGCUUCCUGUGCUUGGCCCUUCUAUGUUGAACGUAAUAAAUGGCUCCCUAUCCACCGGAUGUGUACCAAACUCACUAAAAGUGGCAGUAAUAAAGCCUCUCUUGAAAAAGCCAAACCUUUACCCAGAAAAUAUAAACUAUCGGCCUCUAUCAAAUCUCCCAUUCCUCCCAAAAAAAUUGAAAAAGCUGUUGCGCAGCAACUCACUGCCUUGCUGAAGACUAACAAUGUAUACGAAACGCUUCAUUCUGGUUUUAGACCCCAUCAUAGCACUGAGACUGCACUCGCGAAGGUGGUAAAUUACCUUUUAUUGGCGUCAGACAAAGGCUCUGCAUCUGUCCUCGUGCUCCUAGACCUUGGUGCUGAUUUAUUUAAUUUUUUCAUUGAUCACCACAUUCUUUUGGAGAGAUUGGAAACCCAAAUUGGUCUACACGGACAACUUCUGGCCUGGUUUAGAUCUUAUCUGUCGGAAAGAUAUCAGUUUCUCUGUGGGUGAUUUGUCCUCUGACAAAUCAACUGUAAAUUUCGGUGUUCCUCAAGGUUCCGUUUUAUAUUUUACCACUUGGUGAUGUCAUUCGGAAACAUAAUGUUAACUUUCACUGCUAUGCGGAAGAUACACAGCUGUACAUUUCGAUGAAACAUGGUGAAGCCCCGAAAUUGCCCUCCCUGGAAGCCUGUGUUUCAGCCAUAAGGAAGUGGAUGGCGGCAAAUGUUUUACUUUUAAACUCGGACAAAACAAAAUGCUAGUUCUAGGUCCCAAGAAACAAAGAGAUCUUCUGUUGGAUCUGCCAAUUAAUCUUGAUGGUUGUACAGUCAUCUCAAAUAAAACUGUAAAGGACAUAGGUGUUACUCUGGACCGUGAUCUCUCUUUUGACGAACAUAUCAAGACUGGUUCAAGGACAGCUUUUUUCCAUCUACGUAACAUUGCAAAAAUCAAACUCUCUGUCUAAAAAUUAUGCAGAGAAAUUAAUCCAUGCUUUUGUCACUUCCAGAUUAGACUACUGCAAUACUCUACUUUCCGGCUACCGAUAAAGCACUAAAUAAACUUCAGUUAGUGCUAAACACGGCUGCUAGAAUCCUGACUAGAACCAAAAAAUGUGAUCAUAUUACUCCAGUUCUAGCCUCUCUACACUGGCUUCCUGUUAAGGCUAGGGCUGAUUUCAAGGUUUUACUGCUGACCUACAAAGCAAAGCGUUACAUGGGCUUGCUACUAUCUAUCUUUUCCCGAUUUGGUCCUGCCGUACAUACUUACACAUACGCUACGGUCACAAGACGCAGGCCUCCUUAUUGUCCCUGGACUUUCUAAGCAAACAGCUGGAGGCAGGGCUUUCUCCAAUAGAGCUCUCAACAUUUAAGUCUUUAUUGAAGACUCAUCUCUUCAGUAGGUCCUAUGAUUGAGUGUAGUCUGGCCCAGGGGUGUGAAGGUGAACGGAAAGGCACUGGAGCAACGAACCACCCUUGCUCUCUCUGCCUGGCCGGUUCCCCUCUCCACUGGGAUUCUCUGCCUCUAACCCUAUUACUGAGUCACUGGCUUACUGGUGUUCUUCCAUGCUGUUCCUAGGAGGGGUGCGUCACUUGAGUGUGUUGAGUCUCUGACGUGAUCUUCCUGUCCGGGUUGGCACCCCCCUCGGGUUAGUGCCGUGGGGGAGAUCUUCGUGGCUAUACUCGGCCUUUGGCAAAGUGGGUGGGGUUAUAUCCUGCCUGGUUGGCCCUGUAAGGGGGUAUAAUCGGACGGGGCCACAGUGUCUCCCGACCCCUCCUGUCUCAGCCUCCAGACCUGAGACCUAGGACCAUGUCUCAGGACUACCUGGCCUGAUGACUCCUUGCUGUCCCCAGUCCACCUGGUUGUGCUGCUGCUUCAGUUUCAACUGUUCUGCCAGCGGCUAUGGAACCCUGACCUGUUGCACCCUCUGCAACCACUGUGAUUAUUAUUUGAUCCUGCUGGUCAUCUAUGAACGAUUGAACAUCUUGGCCAUGUACUGUUAUAAUCUCCACCUGGCACAGCCAGAAGAGGACUGGCCACCCCUCAGAGCCUGGUUCCUCUCUAGGUUUCUUCCUAGGUUCCUGCCUUUCUAGGGAGAUUUUCCUAGCCACCGUGCUUCAACAUCUGCAAUGCUUGCUGUUUGGGGUGUUAGGCUGGUUCUGUAUAGUGCUUUGUGACAUCAGCUGAUGUAAGAAGAGCUAUAUAAAUAAAUCAAAAUGUUUCAAGAUACAUUUAAAUGAGAAUUUACACCAGGUUUUCUGUGUGACUGGGUUUGUCUUGACGCUAAUAAACUAUUGUUUAAGUGUGUGGAUCAUGGCACUGCAUGAAAUUAAACGUAUAAACUGUGACCCCAUGAACACACUGUUGCACCAAUCUAGAGAUCAUAAACAGCAUGACCUCACAAACCACAGAGGGCUAGUUUCACAGUCCAACAAAAGCAAUGAAAAUGUAAUAAACAUUAUUUAGGCCUGCUAGUGGGCUAAUCAGCCAGCGUGACAGAAACUGCUGGCAUAAAAAUUGAAGAUAAUUUGACUCAAAAGCUCCAAAGCAGUUCAGUUAGAAUUCAGGAAGCCUCUGUUGAGUUGUAAAUGUUGUGUGGUGUCAGAAGUUCAGGACUUGCUCUUUAUUUCACUGAUUAUUUGAGUAAAUGGGAGAAUACUGUAAUGUGCUUUUUGAAUCAUUUGAUAUACUGG
rnacentral:lncRNA from 1 species